GACGAACGCUGGCGGCGUGCUUAACACAUGCCAGUCGAACGGUGAAGCGCCUUCCUUUUUGGUGGGUGUGGAUGAGUGGCGAACGGGUGAGUAACACGUGAGUAACCUGCCCCCUUCUUCUGGAUAACCGCAUGAAAGUGUGGCUAAUACGGGAUAUUCUGGGUCUGUCGCAUGAUGGGUCUGGGAAAGAUAUUGUUUCGGUGGGGGAUGGGCUCGCGGCCUAUCAGCUUGUUGGUGGGGUGAUGGCCUACCAAGGCGGUGACGGGUAGCCGGCCUGAGAGGGUGGACGGUCACACUGGGACUGAGACACGGCCCAGACUCCGACGGGAGGCAGCAGUGGGGAAUAGUGCACAAUGGGCGCAAGCCUGAUGCAGCGACGCCGCGUGAGGGAUGGAGGCCUUCGGGUUGUGAACCUCUUUCGCCAGUGAAGCAGGCCUGCCUCGUUUGUGGGUGGGUUGACGGUAGCUGGAUAAGAAGCGCCGGCUAACUACGUG
rnacentral:rRNA from 1 species